GAUGAACGCUGGCGGCGUGCCUAAUACAUGCAAGUCGAGCGAACAGACGAGGAGCUUGCUCCUCUGACGUUAGCGGCGGACGGGUGUGUAACACGUGGAUAACCUACCUAUAAGACUGGGAUAACUUCGGGAAACCGGAGCUAAUACCGGAUAAUAUAUUGAACCGCAUGGUUCAAUAGUGAAAGACGGUUUUGCUGUCACUUAUAGGUGGAUCCGCGCCGCAUUAGCUAGUUGGUAAGGUAACGGCUUACCAAGGCAACGAUGCGUAGCCGACCUGAGAGGAUGAUCGGCCACACUGGAACUGAGACACGGUCCAGACUCCUACGGGAGGCAGCAGUAGGGAAUCUUCCGCAAUGGGCGAAAGCCUGACGGAGCAACGCCGCGUGAGUGAUGAAGGUCUUCGGAUCGUAAAACUCUGUUAUUAGGGAAGAACAAAUGUGUAAGUAACUACGCACGUCUUGACGGUACCUAAUCAGAAAGCCACGGCUAACUACGUG
rnacentral:rRNA from 1 species